rnacentral:rRNA from 1 species
CAAUAGCGUAUAUUAAAGUUGUUGCGGUAAAAAAGCUCGUAGUUGGAUUUCUACCGAAGAUAGCCGGUCGGGUCUUCGACCUUGUAUCUGGUUUUGUCUUUGGUAUCCUCAUAGGGAACGUUUCUGCGCUUUAUUGCGUGGUGCGGUAUCUAUGACUUUUACUUUGAGGAAAUUAGAGUGUUCACGGCAUGCAAACGCCUUGAAUAUAUUAGCAUGGAAUAAUAACAUAGGAUCUUCGUCCUAUUUUGUUGGUUUCUAGGGCUAAGAUAAUGAUUAAUAGGGAUAAUUGGGGGCAUCUGUAUCAACGCGUCAGAGGUGGAAUUCUUGGAUUGCGUUGCGACAAACUACUGCGAAAGCAUUUGCCAAGGAUGUUUUCAUUGA